AACGAACGCUGGCGGCAUGCCUAACACAUGCAAGUCGAACGAGAUCUUCGGGUCUAGUGGCGCACGGGUGCGUAACGCGUGGGAAUCUGCCCUCUGGUUCGGAAUAACAGUUGGAAACGACUGCUAAUACCGGAUGAUGACGAAAGUCCAAAGAUUUAUCGCCAGAGGAUGAGCCCGCGUAGGAUUAGCUAGUUGGUGUGGUAAAGGCGCACCAAGGCGACGAUCCUUAGCUGGUCUGAGAGGAUGAUCAGCCACACUGGGACUGAGACACGGCCCAGACUCCUACGGGAGGCAGCAGUGGGGAAUAUUGGACAAUGGGCGAAAGCCUGAUCCAGCAAUGCCGCGUGAGUGAUGAAGGCCUUAGGGUUGUAAAGCUCUUUUACCCGGGAUGAUAAUGACAGUACCGGGAGAAUAAGCUCCGGCUAACUCCGUGCCAGCCGCCACAGUAA
rnacentral:rRNA from 1 species